ACCCUUGGUAGAGAUUCCUCUAUGGACCAGAAAAUAUGAAACAAAUCCCUUGUUCUUUAAAUAGCACAUCCAAGUUGAGAUGAGGACUUGGCUCUGGGCUUCAUGAAGCAUUGGUUUUAGCUGACUAAAGAAGGGUAAGUGGGAGGUGGAACCAAAAAGAGGAAUGCCGUGCUAAAGUUUCCCCUUCACAGCCAAGACUCCUGUUAUCCCCUCUUUUGAGGGUGGUGAUGCUCUGAGAAAGUUCCAAGUGUACUUUGUGCCCUCAACUGGGUCUUCUUAGUAAAAACAAAUAUGGAAAAACCAAGUAUUUAUCUUAUGUGGCCACCUUUACUCCCAAGGGUGUUCUUACUUUUGAGGCAGUGUUUUGGGGCAGAGAACUGUACUGAGACCUGAACUAUGUUUGUGGAAGAAUUGAAGGAGCUGCAUAUGUUCAUAUUGCAACAGAAAGUUGGCAUUCUUAGGACCAGAGCUGCUGUACUUCUAUAGGCAACUGGUUACACCAUGGUCCUUACCACAUUCCAUGGUGUUCUGUAGAAAGGACCGGUGUGUACCCCUGAACUGGAAGAACUAAAUUGCUACCAUGUUACCUAUUUCUUUGCUACUUUAGGUGUGUUUGGUGGGUCAGUGUACUCAUUUUCUUCAAUGGGAUACAUUGGCUUUAUAGCACAAUUGUUUCUUGUUCAAUAAAGAUUGAAAGUAGUACUUCAUCCUUCAGAAUCUAAUGUUAGAGCUUCAUGGGUCUAUAUUACACAGCUGGACUAGGACUUGGCCAAGCCUUGCAGUUGGAGAAAACUUAUUCAAUCAAAGGCUUGGGGUGGUGUGGCUUCUCUAAGUCCACUAUCCCUAUCAGAACAAGUAUUGUAUGAAGAUAUUGAUAAUAACUGACCAGCAAACGAGAAACUUGGUCAUGGAACACAGAACAAACAGAAGACAUGAAAAUGCAUAAAUCCUUUUGUGACCUGUCAGGGAAAAAAUUAAAAAUCUAAUUUUACAGCUCCUAAAUGUUUAUUGUAGAGCCCGGGUUAUACAGAAUCUAUUGCUGUUUCAUUUUCUUAGCAAGUGAGAAUCUAUGUCUGAAAGCAUUAACUGGCUUUGCUGAAAGAGAUAAGCUCUAUGGUUCAGAGAGAGGAGAGAAGACUUCUGGGGUAGUUUUGAUCCCAUCUACUUUGGAUCUAAAGAGAAAUCCCUCCCACCACUGCAGUACUCCUGCUCCCAUAGGCAAUACACAUCUCAAUUACAAGAGACCAACGUUUUCUAUACGUAUCAUUAGAUCAGGUAGUCUAUUUGAAAAAAAAAACAAACUAAAAAUACUAAAAACUUAUAAUGUAAAUAACAAAAUGAGUUGUUUUUCUUGUGAUUAAAAUACAAAUUUUA